CUCUUUUCUGCUCCUUUCUUCCUGCUGUCGUAAGGAAUAGUAGCUCCAAGAGUGAUACGUUUUAUCCAGCCAGACAUGGAAGCUUUAGCCAGGCUCAACCAAACCUCUACAAUCCUUUCAUGGAGGAGGCAGGCUCCCACCGGCCUCAGUGCCGACUAGCCUGACCUCUCCUGUAAACUCAGUACCAAACGAGGUGACUCCACCAGUUGAGGCAGUUAUUCUUGUUCUCUCCUUCAUCUGGUCUCUACUCUUGUCCUCUUCCUAUGACUGAUGGAGGAGCUAGACUAAUUGAAGUAAUGAAGUUAAAAGAUACAAUGGCUACUACUUAUAACAGACUCACUUCAAAGGAUCCUAGCAGCUUCUGGACAUCAGGACAAUGGAUGAGAGAGAGAGAGGUGGUGGA